CCGAAAGGAUGAUGAAAAUUUGUCGCGAUCGGGUCCGGAUUCGUGCGGUUGUGUUUUGAAGUUUUCCUGAACCCAGAAUAAAAGUUGAUCCAUCGGGUGGAUUCUUGUGACAGGCUGAAUUUUGAGCGUUUUCCUUGAUCGGAAAGCGAAAAACAAAUGACGGGAAGUCGUUUCGAGACGGGUGUGAUUCGAUCGAGUGCUAAAUAGCUGUCCGUGAAGCGAUCCUGCUGUUGUUGGUUCAGUGGGUGAACUUGUGCGAUUUAUUUUCUAGCAGUGAAGGAAACAGAAAAAGAGCAUCAUCCCCUAUGUUGCAUUCGAUGGGUGAAGGAAGAACGGGAGUUGUUGUGGAAAAUUCCAAAGCCGUGACGUGUGAAAGAAACUUGGUGUAAACUUGGCCAAGCGGUGAAAUCGUAGAUAAGACGGAAAUUUCGUGUGAAUUUAGGAAGAUAUUGCAGUGGGAUCAGCUGACAGCUGCAGCGUCCUGUUUUGAUGAAAACCAACCAGGGCAGGAGCAACAGCAAAAUAACAACCACCACCAGCAGCCAUCAUCCCGAUGAAUAGAAAGCUUUUCUUCCUGUGCGCCCGUUGCUCGAUCCUGUCUCCGCGCUCGCCUGUCAGUUGCGUCGAGAAAUAGAACAGUCCUGUUGAAUAGAAACAUCUCGCCCCAAAGACAAAUCCUAGCGAAAACUUCCUCACACCAGUUUUUCUGCCGCUCACCAGGAUUGUGUGAAUAUUUUUGUUUGAAUAGAAGUGUGCGGGUUUUCCUCCUUUUUUUCCUCCAGUCGAACGGAAGCAAUUGCUCGUCGUCGUCGUCAGCUGCUGGAAGUGAGCGGGGUGGCAGCGAUGCGUGAAUGGAGAGAGUCUUCUCUACUAUAAUAACAUGGAAAACAUUUUGAUGAUCUGACUUCAAAUAAAAAAAUAAAAGUUUUCUUGUGAGACACACACACACACACACACACUGUUGUCACUUUUUCGUAUGAAACUACGCAGAAGAAGCGAAGGGCAUCAUCAGGAGAAAAAAAAGAUAACUGGAAGGAAUCAGAAACAUUCCGAACCGAAAGUCCAAAUAGCACCACACCGGAAACGGGCUCAAGUCUUGCUGUCGGGUCUUCAUCUUCACUCCGGAAAAUAAAGCCCAAAAGCCCGGGGAAUCCCGACGACCGACGGCGCGCAGGAGAAGAUUAGGUCAGAGUGAAAUACAUUUUGUUUGUUUCGACGGCGCGUGAAUGGGACGAAAAAGGAAUUGGUAUUUCGGGUGCCACUUCCUGGAACGUACUUCCGGUGGGGGGGUAUAAGAUGUGAUGGAGACGCAGCAAGGUGGCACAAUCAAGAGGACCAAAGCUUGCGGAAUGCGACGGAACCAGUUUAUUGGUAGAGGCGAAAAGUUUUCAUAAAUAGUUUACGAUUCCCAUGUAGUUUCGGAGCGGAAAAGCUCAAGCGGUCUCCGACGGUCGUUGGCAAAAUUAAGCGCGUGGAAAAACUGCGAGAGAUUCGGCCGGUCGAGGAAAAUUGUGUACGUGGCAGCAGAGGAAAAAAAAAAUCUAGCCAAAUCCAAUUUAGUCCAAGUUUGUAGGGCUACAGCGGCAGAAGGCACCACCCUCACGUACAAGCGGUGUGUAUGUUGAGCCUGGAGUGAAAAAAGUUUAAUAAUUCUGAGUGUAAUAUAGUGUAACAAAGUAUUUAAACGUAGCGGGAAGCUUCAUGCAUGAUAUGUUGAGUUGCGAGCGCUCGACGGGUCUGUGUGCGUGGUGUGGCAACGUGUAAUGGGCAGAAAUUAACACGGGAAAGUUGUGCAUUCUUGGAGUUUUGCAGCGUGAUAUGAAUUACUUGCUCCGUUUGAGCAACAAUCGACAACAAUUUCAACGACAACGAGCUUUCUAGCAAUGGCUCAGCGACGCAACAAGUCGAGCAUGGAUUACGUAAGCCUCAGUUGCUGUGCGCUGGCAUUCGUCCUGUACGUGAACACCCUCAGCGCUGGAUUCGUAUACGAU